rnacentral:rRNA from 1 species
AGAACGUCGUGAGACAGUUCGGUCCCUAUCUGCCGUGGGCGUUUGAUAUUUGAGAGGAGUUGACCUUAGUACGAGAGGACCGGGUUGAACGUAUCUCUGGUGUUCCGGUUGUCACGCCAGUGGCAUCGCCGGGUAGCUAAAUACGGACGGGAUAACCGCUGAAAGCAUCUAAGCGGGAAGCCCACCUCAAGAUGAGAUAUCACGGAUCUUAAGAUCCCUAAAGAGCCCUUGUAGACAACAAGGUUGAUAGGCGCGAUGUGGAAGUGCAGUAAUGCAUGGAGCUAACGCGUACUAAUUGCUCGUGAGG